UACGUAGGGGGCAAGCGUUGUUCGGAAUUACUGGGCGUAAAGGGCGCGUAGGCGGCCCAGCAAGUCGGGCGUGAAAGCCCGGGGCUCAACCCCGGAAUGGCUUUCGAAACUGCUGAGCUAGAGUACAGAAGGGGCAACCGGAAUUCCCAGUGUAGCGGUGAAAUGCGUAGAUAUUGGGAAGAACACCUGAGGCGAAGGCGGGUUGCUGGGCUGAUACUGACGCUGAGGCGCGAAAGCCAGGGGAGCAAACGGG
rnacentral:rRNA from 1 species